rnacentral:rRNA from 1 species
UGGGGAAUAUUGGACAAUGGGGGGAACCCUGAUCCAGCCAUGCCGCGUGUGUGAAGAAGGCCUUUUGGUUGUAAAGCACUUUAAGCGAGGAGGAGGCUUACCUGGUUAAUACCUGGGAUAAGUGGACGUUACUCGCAGAAUAAGCACCGGCUAACUCUGUG